rnacentral:rRNA from 1 species
UACGUAAGGGGCAAGCGUUGUCCGGAAUCACUGGGCGUAAAGCGCACGUAGGCGGUUUAGCAAGUCAGGGGUGUAAGCUCUAGGCUUAACCUAGAAAUUGCCUCUGAAACUACUUCACUUGAGUAUUAGAGGGGAAGCUGGAAUUCACGGUGUAGCGUGAAAUGCGUAGAGAUCAUGGAGGAAGACCAGCUGGCGGAAGGCGGGUC